rnacentral:rRNA from 1 species
UACGGAGGGGGCUAGCGUUGUUCGGAAUUACUGGGCGUAAAGCGUACGUAGGCGGCUUUGUAAGUUAGAGGUGAAAGCCCGGGGCUCAACCCCGGAAUUGCCUUUAAGACUGCAUCGCUUGAACGUCGGAGAGGUGAGUGGAAUUCCGAGUGUAGAGGUGAAAUUCGUAGAUAUUCGGAAGAACACCAGUGGCGAAGGCGGCACACUGGACGACUGUUGACGCUGAGGUACGAAAGCGUGGGGAGCAAACAGG